UAGGGAAUCUUCGGCAAUGGACGAAAGUCUGACCGAGCAACGCCGCGUGAGUGAAGAAGGUUUUCGGAUCGUAAAACUCUGUUGUUAGAGAAGAACAAGGACGUUAGUAACUGAACGUCCCCUGACGGUAUCUAACCAGAAAGCCACGGCUAACUACGUGCCAGCAGCCGCGGUAAUACGUAGGUGGCAAGCGUUGUCCGGAUUUAUUGGGCGUAAAGCGAGCGCAGGCGGUUUCUUAAGUCUGAUGUGAAAGCCCCCGGCUCAACCGGGGAGGGUCAUUGGAAACUGGGAGACGUGAGUGCAGAAGAGGAGAGUGGAAUUCCAUGGGUGGCGGUGAAAUGCGUAGAUAUAUGGAGGAACACCAGUGGCGAAGGCGGCUCUCUGGUCUGUAACUGACGCUGAGGCUCGAAAGCGUGGGGAGCAAACAGG
rnacentral:rRNA from 1 species